GCGUAACGGAGGAGCACGAAGGUUAGCUAAUCCUGGUCGGACAUCAGGAGGUUAGUGCAAUGGCAUAAGCUAGCUUGACUGCGAGCGUGACGGCGCGAGCAGGUGCGAAAGCAGGUCAUAGUGAUCCGGUGGUUCUGAAUGGAAGGGCCAUCGCUCAACGGAUAAAAGGUACUCCGGGGAUAACAGGCUGAUACCGCCCAAGAGUUCAUAUCGACGGCGGUGUUUGGCACCUCGAUGUCGGCUCAUCACAUCCUGGGGCUGAAGUAGGUCCCAAGGGUAUGGCUGUUCGCCAUUUAAAGUGGUACGCGAGCUGGGUUUAGAACGUCGUGAGACAGUUCGGUCCCUAUCUGCCGUGGGCGCUGGAGAAUUGAGGGGGGCUGCUCCUAGUACGAGAGGACCGGAGUGGACGCAUCACUGGUGUUCGGGUUGUCAUGCCAAUGGCACUGCCCGGUAGCUAAAUGCGGAAGAGAUAAGUGCUGAAAGCAUCUAAGCACGAAACUUGCCCCGAGAUGAGUUCUCCCUGAGACUUUAAGUCUCCUGAAGGAACGUUAAAGACGAUGACGUUGAUAGGCCGGGUGUGUAAGCGCAGCGAUGCGUUGAGCUAACCGGUACUAAUGAACCGUGAGGCUUAACCUUACAACGCCGAAG
rnacentral:rRNA from 1 species